GCACUUGAGAUAUUGCAAGUGAUGAGCAAAACAGGUGUGGCCUCUUCCUUCACUGGGCUUAGAGUCACAUAAGAGACAGAGCAAGUAAAAUAUUACGCUACAGUGCUACUGGCCCAUAAUCAGGCAACUGCAGAGUCUUAGGGGGUUAUCUAAUGUAGUCUUGGGGUGGCUGGAUAGACUUCCCAAAGAAGGUGAUGCCGAAGCUGAGGUCGGAAAUUACGAAGAUCAGCUAUCAAACUUGGAAAUCAUGUCUUAGAGAUCAAGGAGCCAAGAGAUGAGACAAGCCUGGGUUCCUAGGUGAUAGGGUGUGGCUGUGUCCCCACCCAAAUCUCGUCUUGAAUUGUAGCUCCCAUAAUCCCCACAUGUUGUGGAGGGACCCUGUGGAAGAUUGUGCCUGCAGCCUGGCCUGUUGCCCACAGCGGUCUACCUGCCACACUGGGAAAGAUCGAGCAGAGACAGAGAAGAAAAGGAGGCUCCAUUUUUCAGGCUGCUCUCCCGCAGGCUCAUGUUUUGUGUUCAUGCCAGGCAGAGAACACAAAAUGUUCCAAUAAAUAAGUAUCAAAGGUUAGUGGUGAAAAUGAAGGAGGAGGAGGCAUUGCGUGAAAAACUAAACAUGCAAAAUAUUACACACAAAGAGAACCAAAAUGCAGGUUCACUGGAAAUGAUAGACAAUAUGUUAAAACAAGAGGAGAGAAGAGAGCUGAAAUAAUCAAAUGGAAACACACAAUUUAGGGCUAAGAUCUUGUUGUGUUCAGCCACAAAUGAUGGCCAGCAGUGAGGAAUCUGUGUGUUCUCCACACUCUUCGCUCCUGGGAAGUCAACUCACAUGGACCAUGAUAUCAAUAUCUGCUCCUUCCCCUAAUAUCUGUUUGACCUUGGGUCAGUUACUUAAACUUCCUAAGCCUUAGUUUCUUUGUCUGGAAAAUAGGGAUAGUUAUACCUACCACACAACCACUUUGUAAUGAAUAUGUUGGAAAUUAUAUGCAAAUUGGCUUCCGUUGGUGUUUGGAACAUAGUAGGUUUUUAACUGGAAUAUAAUAGCUACCAUUAUCAGUAUCAUCAUAUUAAUUUAUAUUUCCAUCUUCAGCCCUUAACCCAGGAUCUUCAGUAAAUGUUGAAUUCUCAAAUUUGUUAAAUUCACUUGUCUAUACUAAUAUUUUACUCUAGGUUUCUUAGAAUAUUCUAGAUAAUAUUAUUAUGUAGAAUAUGUUAUGUAAGCUUCAUCUUAUCUGUAAAUAUAGUUUUACUUUUUCCUUUCUAAUUUUUAUGUCGAUUACUUCUUUUUCUUGGCUUAUUGAAUUGGCUAGGAUUCCCGUACAGUGUUGAAUACGUGCAGCAAGACUGCACAUCUUGCCUUGUUCCUGGUCCCACAGAGAGAAUAUCCAGUACUUCACAAUAAGUAUGUGUUAAUUGUAGAUUUUAUUAGAUUGAGGAAGUUCCCUUUCCUUUCAAGUCAGUCUUUUUAUUUUAAACAUGUAUUGAAGUUUUGUCAAAUGUCUUCAUCUAUUGGAAUAAUUAUACAUAUCUCUUUUUUAUUCUGUUAAUAUUACAUUUCAAUCUUCUGUCUACCUAAAAUCCCUAGAAUAAUCUCCAUUUGGCUAUGAUGUGUUGUGCUUUUAUAUAUUACUGAAUUCUAUAUGCCAAUAUUAUUAAAAUUUUCUGUCUUUAUGAGAAAUAUUUGAAUGUAUAUUUUUUCAUGUAUUUGUUUUGAUUUUAUUUUCAAUGCCAUUUUGUAAAAGAGCAUUAAAGUGUUAGUAUGAAAGUACUUACUCA
ensembl:lncRNA CCDC26 CCDC26 long non-coding RNA